CCACCUCGCGAGAGGGAGCGGAUCCCCCAAACUCCGGCCCCAGUUCGGAUUGUAGGCUGAAACCCGCCUGCAUGAAGUCGGAGUUGCUAGUAAUCGCGGAUCAGCAUGCCGCGGUGAAUGCGUUCCCGGGCCUUGUACACACCGCCCGUCACACCACCCGAGUCGUCUGCACCCGAAGCCGCCGGCCCAACCUUGCGAGGGAGGCGUCGAAGGUGUGGAGGGUGAGGGGGGUGAAGUCGUAACAAGGUAGC
rnacentral:rRNA from 1 species